AGUCUAUUUUGACUAUUUGUAAACCAAAAUUAGAAAUGUUUUACAAGAAGCCGUCUUAAUCCCUUCUUCACGUUCUAAUAGUGCCGUGAUGGGUAAAAGGGCCCCUGACACUCGGUGAUUCCCUGCCUGGUCAGCAUCCUACAGCUUAGUUUCAAAGGGAUUUUGUUCAGUGGAACAGCUGGGAUCUGGGGUUAUGAUCUGAUGUUUUCAGGCUGAGACC
rnacentral:snoRNA from 1 species